GAUGAACGCUGGCGGCAUGCCUAAUACAUGCAAGUCGAGCGAACAGACGAGGAGCUUGCUCCUCUGACGUUAGCGGCGGACGGGUGAGUAACACGUGGAUAACCUACCUAUAAGACUGGGAUAACUUCGGGAAACCGGAGCUAAUACCGGAUAAUAUAUUGAACCGCAUGGUUCAAUAGUGAAAGACGGUUUUGCUGUCACUUAUAGAUGGAUCCACGUCGCAUUAGCUAGUUGGUAAGGUAACGGCUUACCAAGGCGACGAUGCGUAGCCGACCUGAGAGGGUGAUCAGCCACACUGGAACUGAGACACGGUCCAGACUCCUACGGGAGGCAGCAGUGGGGAAUCUUCCGCAAUGGGCGAAAGCCUGACGGAGCAACGCCGCGUGAGUGAUGAAGGUCUUCGGAUCGUAAAACUCUGUUAUUAGGGAAGAACAAAUGUGUAAGUAACUAUGCACGUCUUGACGGUACCUAAUCAGAAAGCCACGGCUAACUACGUG
rnacentral:rRNA from 1 species